UUUAUUCCCAAAUCAGAAAGCGCUUAGGAUUUUCUUCUUCUUCCGCGUAGAACCAAAGGAGCCUUAGGGGCUUCUUCAUCGUCCACGGCAGCUCCAUGGCUCCAGACUAGCGUCGUCGCACAUCUCCUUGGCCGGCCAAAAGUCACCGUCGGUGCUGUCUCCUGCGCCGGAAACGUUGCCGCCGUUCGUGGCGGUCUAACCUUCGUUUUUCUCCUUUCGCACGCGCGAGAGAGGUAAGCUCCGACACCGUUGCUCGCGCCUCCGUUGCUCCUCGUCGCAACGACCUGGACCGACGAAGUUGCCGGCGUCGUCAAUUCCGCUAUCCUGCGCAAGUCGCCGCUGCGACCAAGCCGGGGCCGUCGCUUUUCCUCACCGGCUAGGAGCGCCGCCGCGGACCACCAUUUUCGUCUUCUCUCGCUCAGACCUUGCCUACCCCAAACCAGCUACCAUGGAGAUCUUCAAAUUCAGCUAAAAGGUGCUGCCACCGGUCCUCGCCAAGACCAUCGGCGACGUUACUCAUGACAAGAGCGUCGUCCCUCUUCGUGCUGAACAAAUGAAAGAUGAAUUGAUGAUGAGGAAGGUGUUUUUCUGUGAGUAAGAAAUGGAUGUUGUGAGAAUAAAGAGGAAUCAAUUUUUGUGUGUGAAAGAUGAUUAUCCAAUGUUUUUCUGUCUUUGUGUUUGGGGUUUUGAUAGUUGGAAGAUGAAGUGGAAGUUGGGUUGGACGAUGGCUUUCUGUGAUGCGCGUGAUGGAGGAAAUGGUUUCGGAGGAGGUCUCUCUGUUUAAUGAGUAGAGAGUGAACAGAGGAGUUGAGACUAAGAAUAGUGUCUUUUGUGAAUGAUGUUGGCUAAAGUCAGAGGGCACCUGCAAUCACUCUGCAAUCCAGCCACUCCUCCCAUGGUCAGAGAAGACCUUUGCCUUUCUUGUAAUCCAGCCAAAGGUAGAGCAAGUCCACACAUGUGUAUUCGCAUCCAAAAAGGAAGAUAGCGUGGAAACAAAGAAAAAGAAAGCAGAGUUGACUUUUGCCAUUUUAUUUUUUGUUUAAUGUUUCAAUAUGUUUCUAUUUUCGUCUACAAUCUCAAAUAGGAUUCUUUUUUUUUUUUUGCGUCUCAAUUGGAUUCUUAUUUUUGUAAAAUUGAAUCAAAUAUGAUCUUUUCGUCAAA